GUUUGUCAUAUUUUUUCCUCAAUCAAUCGGUAAAGCGUUCAAGCAAUCGGUUAAACCUCCGAACGAUUCGUUAAAGAAUCAGAAUCGGUUCUACCGGAUCUUGAGUCAUCAACUCACUGAACUAAGAAAACAAAGCUCGGUCCGGCGACGAGUGCCAGUUGAUAGUUAGCGCGGAUUAUUUUGAGGAUUUUAACGAUGGGUAUUCAUGGGCCUGCUGGUGUUGAAUUAUAUCUUCCACAAGGCGCUCACUCGAACGUGUUCCUACAAACACACAAUAAUCAGUGUAUCUCACAUCAACUGGGGAAGAGGAUGGAUAGGAUCAUUAACUUUUCUUGAAGAUAGUGCUUAUCUUCGAGCCUUCGAGUUACUGAAGGCAAGCAGGGGGUGAGCAUUGUCCUUCAUUACCCUAAUCGCUGUGAAAUGACUCCAACGGACAUUAUCCAGGCCUGAAUAUAAAGGAGGGAGUGCAUACUGCACAUUAGGAACUGUUGUUGAGAAAGAAAGAGAGGUCUAGUUUCCUGAAUUUGGUCAUAAUAGAUGGACGACCUAGGC
ensembl:lncRNA